CCACGGUCAAGAGCAGUUGAGGGUGAGGAAUCCGCACAGCUGCAGUCUAGGCAGCCUGCCAAGGACGGAGGGCACCCAGUGCCAGGGCCAGCCCGAGGACAGGCUGUUGAGGCUUGGACACCAAGGACAACGGCUGCCUCCCGUUGGCUGUGCCCGUGUGGAAGACUGUUGGAUUCAGCUCAGGGCAGUAAGGCAGGUCUCAACCUCUGCUGGGACAGAGAUUAUUAGCCAGGGUAUGGGGCACAUCGGUCUCACAUGCGCUGUGUGACUUAACCUCUCUGAACCUCGUUUUCUCAUCUAUAAAAAUGAAAACUGUGGGGGCUGGAGAGAUGGCUUGGUGGUUAAGAGCACUGGCUGCUCUUCCAGAGGACCUGGGUUCAAUUCCCAGCAACCACAUGGCAGUUCACAAAUGUCUGUAUCUCCUGUUCCCGGGGAUCUGACAUCCUCACACAGACAUACAUGCAGGCAAAACACCAAUGUAUGUACAUAAAAAAGAAAAAUACAGCACUCAGGAGGCAGAGGCAGGCGGAUCUCUGUGAGUUCGAGGCCAGCGUGGUCUCCAGAGCGAGUGCCAGGAUAGGCUCCAAAGCUACACAGAGAAACCCUGUCUCAAAAAACCAAAAAAAAAAAAAUAAUAAUAAUAAUAAUAAUAAUAAUAAUAAUAAUUUUUAAAAAAUGAAAACUGGGGGCUAGAGGGAUGGCUUAGAGGUUAAGAGCAUUUACUACUUUUGCAAAGGACCCUGCCUGGGUUCCCAGCACAAACACCUUUAACUCCUAUUCCAGGGGAUCCAAAACCCUCUUCCAGUCUCCAUAGGCACCCAAGUACAUGGUUCACAUAUAGAUAAGUGUAUGCUCGCAGACACACACAGGGACACACACACACACACACACACACACACACACACACACACACACACUCUUUAAAAGGAUGAUGAAGAAGGCCGGGCGUUGGUGAUGCACACCUUUAAUACCAGCACUCUGGAGGCAGAAGCAGGUGCAUCUCUGUGAGUUCGAGACCAGCCUGGUCUACAAGAGCUAGUUCCAGGACAGGCUCCAAAGCUACACAGAGAAACCCUGUCACGGAAAAACUAAAAAACAAAACAAAAGGAAGCUGAAGAAGAUGGACCAGUAGCUCAUGUCUAUAGUCCCAGCACUCAGGAGGCUGAGCCUGAGGCAGGGGCAGGAGACCCUCUUAAAAUCCCAGACCAUCCUGGACCACAUACACAGCGGGACCUAUCUCAAAACAUCAGCAACUACAAAAAAAGACAGCGAUGGCCAUCUCCUGAGAGAUAUAAAGAUGGCACACAGAGAUGCCCAGUAUCCAGAAUCUUGGGGGUGGAGGCUGAGGGGUGGGCACUUGGCUGUUUGAGAAUAAAGGCAUAAUUAACCAGCAUCUUCCCCGUCCCAGGGCCACACUGAUUUUACAAACCUUGAGGAACUAAAGAACCCCUGAGCCUAAGCCACAGGCGUCCAGCGACAGUGCUGAAAGGAAGUUACAUGAGGCCCACAGCCAAAGUGACCAAGACACAGAGAAGCCUUUGGA
rnacentral:lncRNA from 1 species